GCCCAACCAGCAUAGGGGAUAUGACCCUCGGCAUGUAACCGAGCGGGUUCGGGUUCGAGUCCCGAGUAAGGCA